UCUAGGAGGGACGUAGGGGUGAUCUAGGAGGGACGUAGGGGUGAUCUAGGAGGAACGUAGGGGUGAUCUAGGAGGGACGUAGGGGUGAUCUAGGAGGGACGUCGGGGCGAUCUUGGAGGGACGUCGGGGUGAUCUAGGAGGGAUGUCGGGGUGAUCUUGGAGGGACGUAGGGGGUUGUGGAGUGUCUGUGGAUGAUGGCUGGUGAAGCAGCCUUUCCUGGCCCAGGUCAGAGUGAUUAGGCUGAACACCUGUUGCAUAUUGAGCAAUCAGCCAUCACCACACAUCCUCCUGCAUGGCGACGUGUAACACCAUGAAUCAUUAUCUACAAACUAAAAAAACAGAUUGUCCAACACCACCAGCCAAUCUAGGGGUGAUGUAAGGCUGAUCUAGGGCCGAUGUAAGGCUGAUCUAGGAGUGAUGUAAGGCUGAUCUAGGGCCGAUGUAAGGCUGAUCUAGGGCCGAUGUAAGGCUGAUCUAGGAGUGAUGUAAGGCUGAUCUAGGGCCGAUGUAAGGCUGAUCUAGGGCCGAUGUAAGCCUGAUAUAGGGUGAUGUAAGGCUGAUCUAGGGGUGAUGUAAGGCUGAUCUAGGGGUGAUGCAGAUUUUCAAACGGCUUGUAAUGGCUAAUCCCACUCACACUUGGUUGUAUAAUGGGUCACCUUUAAUUAUUAACAGACUCCCAGCUCUCAUAACUACAUCCUGGUGAUGCAACAAAGAGGGCUAGCCAGGCUAACCCUAAACCAACAAAAAGGCUUACCUUAACCCUAGGGCUUACCCUAAACUUGGAACUAACCCUAGGGCUUACCCUAUACUUGGGGCUAACCCUAAACCUUGGGCUAACACGUUACCCAGGCUAACCCUAACCCCAUUAAAAGCUUUAAGGUGGCACUACUUGUCUUAAGUACCACUUGCAUAAAAUCUCUGAUCUUUAUGUAUAACCAAAAUAUUCAUCAGAAAGUUAAUAUAUGUAUUUAACAUUUAAUUAUACUCAUGUUCAAGGUUAAAGGUAUUUAUAAAAAAAAAGAAAUUAUUCAUAUAUAUGCAAAUAAACAUAACUGUAUAAGAAAAAUCUAAGCCAUACUGACUGAUUAGCAAAUCAUGGAUAAAUGGAAAUUGAUGGCAUAAUCAAUACUAUUAAAAUAAUUAUCGGAAUAAUCAUUUGACAUUUUA